GACGAACCGUGCGAACGUUUAUUCGGAAUCACUGGGCUUAAAGCGCGUGUAGGCGGGACGGCACGUCGGUCGCUGAAAUCCCCCGGCUUAACCGGGGAACGGGGCGUCGAUACGACCGUCCUGGAGGGGCGUAGGGGGGACCUGGAACUUCCGGUGGAGCGGUGAAAUGCGUUGAGAUCGGAAGGAACGCCCGUGGCGAAGGCGACUCUUUGGUCUGUAACUGACGCUGAGGCGCGAAAGCGUGGGGAGCGAACAGG
rnacentral:rRNA from 1 species